AUCCACGCUAUAAUGCCAGUUAUUAUUCACGUUAGACAAAUAGGUACCUAUUGUACAGCACUUCAAUGUGUAACGAAUUAUUUCGUACAAUAAACCUGAAAGAGUGAAAAUCGGAACUAAUAUCUUAAAUGCAGGUUAAAAAAAAAAAAAACAUAUCCGGCAGUAAAUCGGCGCAAGAUGGUUCCAUUGUAGGACAUGAUAAUCUCAGGUUGGCGGCUCUGUUGCAAAGAAUAAAGUUAUGCGUGAAUGCUUUUGUAUUUUCAAAGAUCACCAACAUGCAAGAUGACUCCUACUGUCGUGAUGCCCUUAGAAUGAAGGGCUUCUUAAGUAUGCCAUCACUGAAGUUAAGUGAGCCUCACACUGGAGAAGCGACAAACUGAACGCGGAAAAGAAUCGGGGAUAUAUAUAUAUAUAUCUUCCAUUAUAGAAGACCUGACUAGGAUUCGUCUACGAUAAACCCUGAAAAAUACUGGUAUAGGAAUAGAAAUACUAGUCGAGACCUAUGGAAAAUCGUGUUAUACUUCCUGCAAUUUCAGAAGUUUUAAUUUCUUGUAAAUCAUAAUGAAAUAAAAUUUUGAUUUAUAAAACAUUAGUGAACUUAACUGAGUUAAUGAAUAUCUGUACCUGAAACUAUGGAAUCAUUGUCUCCUGUCCUUUCGACAAAGCAGCUGUAUGAUUCACGAACAAAUACUCAUUUUUAAAAGCAACCAGAUAUGGCUACAGCUAACGUAACUGCAGUAGCGAAGGGUAACGCCUGAUAGUCUUUGGAAGUGCUUGACUCAGCUCGAGGGGAACUGCCAGCUCUGCUGCUGUGCGGUAGUUUCAGUCUGCUGCGGCUGAUGAGCGAACUGCCCUGCAGGUGUCUGCGGGUUGCCGUCGACUCCCCGGCUCUGCCUGCUCUCCCAACCCUGCUGGUCUGGAGCCUGGCUCUGCGGGAACGCCACCGACUGGGAGCCUUGGCUCGCUCCAAGACCGGGGUCACCGACGUCCUCGCUGUUCCUGGAGCUCCUGUUCCAGUCGUGAGGUGGCGGCUGCUGUUGCGGAUCACCGACGGACCUGCUGGCUACCAGAGCGACGUGUAGUGUUGCCACCAGUGCAACCUGAAAACACACAGAGGAACACACUGCAUUCAUACAAUCUGCAGCAGACAAACAUGUGGGGAGUGGCCACAGCACAGCGGCCUGCAGCCAGGCUACUCACGUGAGCGAAGCCGGCCCCGAGGACCAUGUCCUGGGCCAGGCAUGCCCGACGCUUCCCCGGCGGCGAGCCAGCGGCCUGUGUCCAGGGACUCGGCCCUCGGGGGGAGACGGAUUAACGGGACCCCGCCGGGCCGAGAACUGGGGCAGAGCUGCACCGCGCCAGGCGGUCACGGCUCGACCGACCUACACCGUGCCGGUCAUACGUCGUCGCUUCUCGCCCGAGAGGACUCGGUCCACCCGGGCGAGGGGGCAGCACUUUCAUCAGCAUCGACCUCAAGGACGGCUGAAGUAAAUACAGCCAAGGUGACGCGGCAAUAGAAUCCAGUAGUGAAUUAAGCAGGCGUCCCCCUUAACCAUCAGCUGCAUAGCCUGCUUACCAUGCAAGAGUCCAGAGUGGAAAAACCCCUCGGGUGUUUGAGCGAGGAGACUAAUGUUAUUAUUUCUUGGUUCAAACCUGAACAAUAAAGUACUUAACACG